AAAUGAACGUUGAAGAGGAGAAGUAAAGAGGGCGCUGUGUAUAAAGAGAGAAUCAUCAUCGGCUGAAAGUGAUUCUACACACCCUUCUCGAAAUGCACCUCUGAGUCCUUGGUUGAACUUAAGUACACCAAGGCGGUCGCCUUCCGUUACAAAGGUCUAAGUUGGGAGAGACAGACGAGUCUCUUCAAACAGAGUGGAACCGCGCAUAAGCGUCUCUGUC
rnacentral:ncRNA from 1 species